GUACUUCUGAAAUCAAUUUGCUAUUAGUCUUUACCAAGUAAAUCGGUGCCUAAGCAAAACUUGCUCACCGGCUUGAGAAUUAAGAAGAGAAAUUAAAGAAUCAAAUACAAGUCUUUUUGGUAGCAAGGCCAAGGUUGUUCCUUGUGGUUAUAAAAAAUGCAGAAGCAUCAAAGCAUUUCACAAGAUCCAAGUUGAUACAAAAUUCAUGCUUUAGAACAAUGAUCUAUUCAGUGAUGUAUUUAUCGGACUCUGGCAGUUGAUUUUUUAGCAAAAGUCAUUUUCCGCGGAUCUAUCACAUCCACUCUUAUCACAAGCACUGUGCCAUUUUCUUCCUCCGUCCAUGGUAUGGAAUCCCUCUCCAAAAAUUUCAGUACCAGACGCUUCCGGGGACCUUUAGCUUCUUCAGCAGUGAUCCCAACUAAGAUUUUGAGAUAUUGAAUAGACGAGAAUCCACAAAGAGAAGUCAACUGAAGUUUGAGUAAGCGCACUGCAUCCUUUGGCUCCAAAUCGUGAAGGUCGAGUGUCACAAUUUCUUUGCUGGAACUGCAACUGGUUUCAAGAAGCUUUUGAGAGGAUUUUUCAUCCGUCACUUGCGCCUUCGUCAUGAAAAAUUGUCCCUCUUCCAGGAAUUUGCGUGCUUGAUCAUGAUCUCCUUUGGAGAAUGCUUCAGAAGCUGCAUUAUAGUACUCUUUCAUUGUAAUCCAGUACUCCUUUACAGCUUUCCGAAGAACUUCGUAGCUUUCUUCAUCCUCCUCACCAUUUUUUGCAUCACUUUGUGGUGUCCUGAUAAGAAUCUGGCGUUCUAAAGUCUCCUGUAAUGGUUUAUCUACAACGAGAUUUAAUCUACUAGACUUCCCAACUUCCUUCACCGGACGAAUCACUUCAUCCACAUUAUCAUAUCUUGAAGCUGCAGGUACAUCAAACAAUGCAUGCAGAACUUCCUUUUGAAUCUCAUACCUUUCCUGCUCCUUCAUAGAUAACUUGAGCCCAUUUUUAGUCUUCUCAUUUGCUUUGGAACUGCAUCAGCAAAAAUAGAAGGAUGACAGUCAAUCCAUAACAACACCUUGAAAAUCUACAAAAUCAGUUUAACCAAAAAAAAAAGAGAACUUCCUGGACAUUAAAUUAUAGUUUCUGGAGGACAGAGUACCGGAUGGCUGGAUCUGUCAUUGAAGAUGUCUCUUUUGAUACAACUGAUGCAAAAUCUGAACUCUCCACAGAUUUCUUGACACCUAUAUUUAUAAUAUCAUCGCUCUUUCCCAAAGUUGAUGCGGACAUAUCUAGCAGCUUAUCCAUACUCUUGUUCAGAUCGUAGCUGCAUUGACCAACAACAUCUCCAAUUACACUCCUGUCAAGAGAAAAUCCGCUUCCCAGCAUGUUGAAGAGGAACUCCUCUACACUGCUGGGCAGGGUUUCACUCAUAGCUGCAGCACCUAAUGGAGCUUUCUCCUCCCUUAGCUCUGGGGUUAAGAAAUCAUCUGCGCUUAAUUUCAGUGGCUUGAUUCUCGUAGAAGUUUCUGUAAUUAGUGGCCUAUUCGUCAGAUAGUCUUUUGGGAUCAUGCUUGAGACAGUCCCCAUAGACACUGAUAACUUUUUUUGCUUUGAUGACCUGGGACCAACUCUCUUGGCAUCAAUCUCAGAUACAGAUGCAGAUGUCGAUAUCAUAGAGUCCCCUACUUCCUCAAAUUCAGAAGUCAGAGUCACGGAAUCCUCUAUGUUUUCUUCCAUCUCAGAGUUAGUAGUUCCGGAGCUGCUAGGUUUCUGAUCUCCAAGUAUAUCACCUGCAAUAAUUGGAUCCCGACCUGCUUUACAAUAAGCUGCAGCGAUGUCAUCGAGAGAGACAACAGAUCCAAAGACAUCAAGCAAUUGCUCCAGGUUCUUGCUAUCAUCAUCAGUAAACAAGAUUGUCGAAGGAGGUGCCUCCAUCUUCAUCCUUGCAGUAUAAGAUGAAAUAAGAACCGUGUAUAAACUUGCCGGCCGAUGAUAGAUAGAGAAUGAGAGCCAAA
rnacentral:misc_RNA from 1 species